rnacentral:rRNA from 1 species
UACAGAGGUCCUCACGUUGUUCGGAUUCAUUGGGCGUAAAGGGUGCGUAGGUGACACGGUAAGUCGGGGUGUGAAAUCCCGGGGCUCAACCCCGGAACUGCACUCGAUACUGCCGUGCUCGAGUACUGGAGAGGAGACUGGAAUUUACGGUGUAGCAGUGAAAUGCGUAGAUAUCGUAAGGAAGACCGGUGGCGAAGGCUAGUCUCUGGACAGUUACUGACGCUGAUGCACGAAGGCCAGGGGAGCAAACGGG